UCCAUCCCUUACAUCUCCUGCUGGAAGAUUUCCGAUUGGGUUUUCUUUACAUCCUCUCGGGGGCAAAGUCUGGGCAAAAGGGAGUGACGUGCUACCUGCUGGGAAAUAAUUGACAAGAAAUCUGCCUCUCUUCUAUCUCCACGUGCAUUCAGAAUAAAAUGAGUAAAGAUGGAUAUUAAAACCCUGACACGCACAUGCAUGCACUCACACGGUCAGCGGGUGGCCUCCCUGAGGAGCAAGAAUUGCUUCUGUAGAGAAACAGAGAAUACAUGAAGAACUUUUUUGCACUGAAUGCACAAGCAGAUGAGGGGCAAGCCUCCCUUUUGCUCCAGCUGUAGGUGUGGGAGCACAGAGGCAGGGUGCCUGCCUCUAGGAAGCUCCAGCCUCAAGGGACAGCUGGGCCCUAGCCAGCUCUUUCUGCAACAUCUAUUCCAGAUGUUUAAAAAAUGAAUAUUAAUUUGAGAGCCAAGAACUGUUUCUAAGCACUUUAUUUGUGUUUCUUUUGAUCCUCACAACUCUAUAAAGUGGGUACUAUUUAUAUCCCUUUUAUAACUGAAGAACAAAGACAGAGAUUAAGUAAUGUGGCCAAGGUCUGAUUUCAGUUCUUACUUCUCAGGACAUUUUGGGAGCAAGUGUUGGCACCUACAUCUCAGCUCUGGGGAUCUUGAGUUAUAGCAGGCCCUCUCAUUUUCCCAUUUCUCAUCCCCAGGUGGGGGCCAAGCAGCUGGUUCCAGCAGCUGGGAAUUAGCUGAUCCACACACAGAGGGAGUGAGCCACGGGACACUCCUAGGCCCGGCAAAUGGAAGCUCAAGUAUAUCAGACGUUCCAUGUGCUUGGGCAUCUCAGCCUGCCUACACGUGUGUGUGCCUGUGAAGAUGGACAUUUAUUAUUACAUGGCUUCAGUGUCAUCUUGAAAGAAAAUAGAACCCCGUAAGAGAAAAGUUGUGGAUAUUGGAGGCAUGUUCAAUGAAAAAUGUACAGAUGAGUACUUUUUUUGUCAAGAUAAAAAAUAAGGCACUAUGCUUAAUUUGUAGGGAAAUUGUGUCGGUUUUCAAAGAUUAGAAUCUGAAAAGAUGUUAUAUGCAAAAAAUAUGCCACUUAAUCUGAUGGCUGUCAAGGAAUGCUUGGU